rnacentral:lncRNA from 1 species
CUUCAUCCUCCUUCUAUCUCUGGUCUCACUUUCCUCCCUAAGUUUUCUUCUUCUCUUCAUGUUUCUGCUCUUACCUCCUUCUCAGGUUCUGCUAGCCCUUUGGGAUAUCAGGCCUUCAGAAGUAGCUCAGAAGAAAGGCUAUAUGAGGACACAGCAAGAAGGUGGCUGCCCACCAGCCAGGAAGAGAGCCCUCACCAGGAACUGAAUCUACUGGCACCUCCAUCUGGGACUUCCAUCCUCCAGACCUGAAAAUGCAAGAGGAGAGAGAUAAAUUGAAAGAAUUGUUAAGCAAAAAGGAAGUAGAAGUUGAAGACUUGGAAAAUUCUCAGCCUACCCAUGUUACAAAAAGUGAGAAAGUAUGCUCUGAAGAGAACACCAAGGAUGUGGGUGGAAAAUCAUUUGAUAAAGGAAUUAUGGAUAUGAACCCUGGAUUUAAUCAGCCAUCUCAGCAGAAUCGAGCAAUAGAGAUGGGGUUAUACGAGCAGACACUGCCAGUUUGGACCAAGGAGACAGAACAGGACAAUAGAG